AUCCGGAGGAUGCGAGAGUUAUCCGGAUUUAUUGGGUUUAAAGGGAGCGUAGGCGGGAGCUUAAGUCAGCGGUUAAAUGGUGCGGCUCAACCGUGCCCUGCCGUUGAAACUGGGUUUCUUGAGAGUGCAAGAGGCGGAUGGGAUUCAUGGGGGAGCGGGGAAAUGCUUAGAUAUCAUGAAGAACUCCGAUUGUGAAGGCAGUCCGCUGGGGCACGUCUGACGCUGAUGCUCGAAGGUGCGGGAAUCAAACAGGAUUAGAUACCCUGGUAGUCCGCACGGUAAACGAUGAUUACCCGCUGUCGGCGGUAGACAGUCGGCGGCCAAGCGAAAGCGAUAAGUAAUCCACCUGGGGAGUACGCCGGCAACGGUGAAACUCAAAUGAAUUGACGGG
rnacentral:rRNA from 1 species